UACGUAGGGUGCGAGCGUUGUCCGGAAUUAUUGGGCGUAAAGAGCUUGUAGGCGGUUUGUCGCGUCUGCCGUGAAAACCUACAGCUUAACUGUGGGCUUGCAGUCGAUACGGGCAGACUUGAGUUCGGUAGGGGAGACUGGAAUUCCUGGUGUAGCGGUGAAAUGCGUAGAUAUCGGAAGGAACACCGGUGGCGAAAGCGGCGUGCUGGAUCCCUUCUGACGCUGAGGCGCGAAAGCCAGGGGAGCGAACGGG
rnacentral:rRNA from 1 species